rnacentral:rRNA from 1 species
ACUCUGGUUGAUCCUGCCAGAGGUUACUGCUAUCGGUGUUCGACUAAGCCAUGCGAGUUAAAUGUUCUUCGUGAACAUAGCGAACUGCUCAGUAACACGUGGAUAACCUGCCCUUAGGUUUGGCAUAACUCCGGGAAACUGGAGAUAAUUCCGAAUAAACCAUUCAUGCUGGAAUGCU